CCCUGAUUAAGAUCGUAAAGAAUCUGCCUGCAAUGCAGGAGACCCAGGUUUGAUCCCUGGAUCAGGAA
rnacentral:tRNA from 1 species